GUGUCAGCAGCCGCGGUAAUACGUAGGGGGCAAGCGUUGUCCGGAAUCAUUGGGCGUAAAGCGCGUGUAGGCGGCUCAGUAAGUCUGUUCUGAAAGUCCAGGGCUCAACCCUGGGAUGCGGAUGGAUACUGCUGAGCUCGAGUCCGGAAGAGGCGAGUGGAAUUCCUGGUGUAGCGGUGAAAUGCGCAGAUAUCAGGAGGAACACCGAUGGCGAAGGCAGCUCGCUGGGACGUGACUGACGCUGAGACGCGAAAGCGUGGGGAGCAAACAGGAUUAGAUACCCUGGUAGUCC
rnacentral:rRNA from 1 species